GCUACAACCAUCUAUGGGUAUAAGAAAUAAGUAUUUAAAAUGAUAUUAGAAGUUAAAUUGAUACAAGAAAAUAAAGUAUAUGCCUCUCCAGCAAUGAGAACUUGAUUAGGGCUUUGGUGCUGGACAUUAAUUUCCUCCUACUGAGACAGCCCAACUCUGUGUUUCUUGAGUUCUUCCAUGAAAUGGAUUUUUCUUUUUGUUGCUAGAUAAUCUGCACAUUGAAAUAAGGGUUUUUCUCAGUGAGGGCCAAGCAGUGGUUUUAUAGAAGUAUGACAAUGCAUCAACUUUAAAAAAAAAACUCAUGGCUCCAUGAAAUGGAUUUUUCUUUUUGUUGCUAGAUAAUCUGCACAUUGAAAUAAGGGUUUUUCUCAGUGAGGGCCAAGCAGUGGUUUUAUAGAAGUAUGACAAUGCAUCAACUUUAUAAAAAAAAAAAAGAUUCUUUCUCUUACAAUGGCCUUUGGGAUGAGCAUGAAGCAAGUUUGUAUGUGCUACAUUUCAUGCUUUAGAAAAGGCUAAGGGAGACAGGGAGAUGCUGAGA
rnacentral:lncRNA from 1 species